rnacentral:tRNA from 1 species
GGGUGUAGCUCAAUUGGUAGAGCAACGGUCUCCAAAACCGUAGGUUGCGGGUUCAAGUCCUGUCACCC